rnacentral:lncRNA from 1 species
AAAUUAUUUUUGGGUUUACGGUUUUUAAGUCUUUACAAUGUUUUAUUCUCAUAUUGUUUGACAAUUUUUCAUCUUUUGAUGGCAUAUUUUCAUUCAAUAGAUGGACUUAUUAUUUAUUACAGGUUUUACUAAUUUCUCAAAAUCUCUCAAUUCGUGAUAUCGAUUCCCUUUUAGUGUGGUAUACAUUGUAAUCUUGUUUCAUCCAUGACAAUCACUCACUCUUGUUUUGUUCUUAUCAUGUAGUAAUUUCACACAAUCCCACCACAUGCUUGAUGAAACAUUGCAAUGCUCUUGAUAAAAAUAAUUUUGUGGCAAUUAUAAGGCGUUUACAAACUAUGAAAACCUGUAGGCAGCAAUUGUAAUAACUUGUUGCAUUUUCUAUAGUAUUGUGCAUUGUUUUGGUUGAUUUUCCUUUUGGGUACUCAAGUCUUGUCCUCACUGGAUUGAAAUUGUAAACCUGCCGCUGGUUCAAAGGCUUGUAAUUUUGAAGUGAAAUACUAAUCGUCACAGAUGAAGCUUGUGGUUGUUUGAAUGAUUUCAUUUUCUCAAAUUUUCUAAUAAAAUAUUAUAUAAAUGAUUCUGAUGCUACCAAAAAAUAUCACCCGAAAGAUCUCGAGCUUGAUGGUUUAACUUCACUUUGAUGGACACAAUCGGUCUGUGAAUACCUGCAACAAAGGCAACGAGGUAUGUGCUAGUCGCCGCUCCAGUCAGAUAGGGAAUUUAGUGCGUGAGGCUAUAAACUGAAGAUAAUGAAAAUGUACCUUGAUGUUGAGCAUUGGCCAAGUAUUUAUAGGUGUUGGUGGGGGGAGCUGUAGAAGGAUUCUAUUAUUGAAAGAGUCAUUUUCCCCUUAGGAUUAGGUGUUGGAGUUUGAUUAGAAGUAUACUGUUAGAGUUCUAAUCAGGGAAGGAGUAGACUUGGGUGGGGUCUAUUUUUUUGGAGAUUAAGUCGGUGGGCAGGAUCGGAUUAGAAAUAACCCCGACCUUAAGGAAACCCCAACCUCAAACCGGCAUAACACACUAAGAUCAACUCGGGGGUCUUAGGUCGAGGUUGAGCAUGGUGGGCAAAUUCAGGUCUAGUUCGGGGUUACCAAUCCGGAAUCAUCAUAGGCCCCCGUGCAUCUAAGUUGUAGAUCGUGCAGGGUAUACGAUCUCGGAUUGAGAUGCAAAAAGGAUGUCGUAGCAUGAUAUCGACCUCAACACCUGUGAUUUACCUGUUGGAGAUAUACUAUGUCACGGGUCUGUCAUGUGGCUGGUUGUCAGAGCUCGAACUUGGAUCUUUG